AAAAAAAAGGUAUAAAAUGGAUGCGAAGUUGUUCAGAUUCCAGUUUGGCACCUAUCAUGUGACCUAUCACGUGACCUGUCCAGAACGAUUUGUUCUAGAGGUAAGUGGGAAUUUCAUAGAUUACACCCACUAAGGAUUACAGUCACAUUCUAAUGACCCCAUGAAUUGUAUCAAAUUCAAACUAUCUCCCUCCCCUAAAAAAAUGUAAUGCCAUUAAAAAGUACAAAGUACAAUCUUAGUUAAAGGAAGCCGCUAAACCCAUGACCUGAUAUAGUGUCUGGAACUCAAUCUGCUGCCCUUUGUCAACAAUAUGUCUCUAAAUCACAUAGACAGAUUAUUUAAACCGUAUUCAUUACGGUUACCUGUGGUGUCUUAUGUUUAUGAUGACAACUGAUUAGUAACAUUUAUGCCAAAGUAGCCAAAAUUAGAAAUAAAAUCUACAAAAUUUGCUUCCAAUUUGACUACUAGGUGUCAACUAAAAAACAAACAGGAAAAAAGGCAUAGCAUUAAGGAAUCUAUCAGAUAUAGUAACUAUGAUCAGUGAAUUAAUGCUGUGCCACCAUAAUAACUGCCUUGUAUGGAAGCAUCCUCCACCAGGCAAUCAGAAAAGUUGUAAAAGUAAAAAGAAUAAAGAAUCAGUGAGAGAUAAAAACUGUAAUU